rnacentral:rRNA from 1 species
UGGGGAAUAUUGGACAAUGGGGGCAACCCUGAUCCAGCGACGCCGCGUGUGUGCAGAAGGCCUGCGGGUUGUAAAGCACUUCUAGUGGGGAUGAAAAGUGCAGAGAUAAUACCUCUGCAUCUUGACCUAACCCACAGAAAAAGCACCGGCUAACUCUGUGCCAGCAGCCGCGGUAAUACAGAGGGUGCGAGCGUUAAUCGGAAUUACUGGGCGUAAAGCGUGCGCAGACGGUUGCGUAAGUCAGAUGUGAAAGCCCCGGGCUCAGCCUGGGAAUUGCAUUUGAGACUGCGUAGCUAGGGUGCGGAAGAGGGAAGCGGAAUUUCCGGUGUAGCGGUGAAAUGCGUAGAUAUCGGAAGGAACACCAGUGGCGAAAGCGGCUUCCUGGUCCAGCACCGACGUUCAGGCACGAAAGCGUGGGGAGCAAAC